GGACGUCCUGUGUGUGCUGACGGACACACACGGACAGCCACAGACGUGAAGUGUGUGCUGACAAACACACACGGACGUCCUGGGUGUGCUGACGGACACCCACCGACGUCCUGUGUGUACUGAACAGACAGCCAACGUGGGCCAAAAUCACCCGAACGGUCCACGGGAAGUGUAGAAACCCGUUAAAAAAAAAGAAAAAAGAAAUGGUCGAGUAUCUUUGUGGUUGUCGAGUCGCGGGCGAUAUGGAUCAAUCGAGAAGUUUUGAAGUACGAGGUGGGCGAAGAAGUGAUCGUGAGUUAACUAUGAGUCGAAUAAGUUGCUCGACCAUAGUUAGAAGAUGCCUUAGAUUGAUGAGACUGACGUUUUGGAAACAUAAUAUUUUUGGAAGCACAACGGUUUAGAAGCUCGACGUUUGUGAAGAAUGACGUUUCUUCAGCACGAAUUUUUCCGCAGAACUUCGUAUCAGCGGAUUAUUAUUUCGAAGACAUUUGAAACAUGACGGGAGUUAAGCACGAUGGGAAGCAAGCACGACGGGAUCAAAGCACGACGGAAAAACCUGAAGUUGGGCGAAAACCCUAAUUUCGGUAUAAUGGAAUUCUUCGAGGAAGCCGGAGGCUCAGGACAUAUUUUCCCUCAACUUCAGAGAUCAAGUGGAAUUUAUUAAAAUUGUUCUGAGCAUCAGAAAGGGUGUAGAAAAAUAUUUGGGAUUGAUCGCGGGAUGAAAAUUCACCGGAAUGGUCGAAAUCAGGCGAUUGGACCAAGAAGCUCGAGAUGUCUCUAUGCAUUUGACCAGGACGUUCUGUCUAUCACAUCAGCAGCUGAGUGUCAACACAAGGAGGAGGUGUAGACGUGCAUGGAAGCUGCACAUGCAGCUUGACAUGUAGAAGAACGAGGUGGAUCGACCAAGCACGAGGUGUCUCCGCGCAUGGAACCGAAGCAUGCGGCCAGCCAUGUGUGUGAUGCUGUGGCGCCUUGCAUGAGUUCCAGUCAUGCAGCCUGACAUCUGGG
rnacentral:lncRNA from 1 species